GUCGCGCGCCUUCCCCGCCCCUGGCGCGCGGCAUAUUUAAGGGGGCCCCGGGAGGGUUGGGGCCCUUUUGCGCACCCCGGGGGGCUUGGGUGAGCUCGUCGGUGCCGGUCGGUCCGGCGACGGGACCGUGUGCGCUAGCUGUGUGACUUGCGGGCGGCUCCGUCCGUGCCGCAGGCCCAGCACCGGAGCCGUAGCUUGGGCCGCCGGGCGGCCAUGCGGGCCCUCCGGCAGCCGACCGGGGAGAGAUGGACCCGGGCUCAGAGCUGCUGCCGCUGCCUCCCCGAGGCAGCUCCUCCGGCAGAGCAUGUGCUCGUCCGAGUAGCAGAGCAGAGCCAUUUCCCGCUGUUUUCAGAGGAAUUAAAACUAUUAUCUGCUGUUCAGCGUCAGCGGGGUUGGAACUGGAUGAUCUUUAAGAUCCCUUCCAACCCCAACCAGCCUGUGGUUAUAAGUCCAGUUCUGGCAGCGCAAAACAGUAUAACCUCAGGAACUGAAGGGGCGGGUUGCUGGCACCGUUCCCUUAACGGCGUAAGGCAUCACUUAAAAGGCAGCAAGUGA
rnacentral:lncRNA from 1 species